UACGGGGGGAGCAAGCGUUGUUCGGAUUUACUGGGCGUAAAGGGCGCGUAGGCGGCCACUGCACGUCGGGUGUGAAAUCUCGGAGCUUAACUCCGAAACUGCAUUCGAUACUGCCGUGCUUGAGGACUGGAGAGGAGACUGGAAUUUACGGUGUAGCGGUGAAAUGCGUAGAUAUCAGGAGGAACACCAACGGCGAAGGCAGCUCGCUGGGACGGUACUGACGCUGAGGCGCGAAAGCGUGGGGAGCGAACAGG
rnacentral:rRNA from 1 species